UACGUAGGGGCGAGCGUUGUCCGGAAUGAUUGGGCGUAAAGGGCGCGCAGGCGGCCAUUCAAGUCAGUAGUGGAAGUCCAUUUUUCAAGGGUGGAAGUGCUAUUGAAACUGCAUGGCUUGAGUGCGGGAGAGGUUAUCGGAAUUCCCGGUGUAGCGGUGAAAUGCGUAGAGAUCGGUAGGAACACCAGUGGCGAAGGCGGGUAACUGGACCGCAACUGACGCUGAGGCGCGAAAGUGUGGGGAGCAAACAGGAUUAGAUACCCUGGUAGU
rnacentral:rRNA from 1 species